CGGGCCAUCCAGCGGAGUCUGGCUAUCAUCCGGCAGGCGAAGCAGAAGAAAGAGAAGAAAAGAGAGUACUGCAUGUAUUACAACCGUUUUGGCAGGUGUAACCGUGGCGAAUGCUGCCCCUACAUCCAUGACCCUGAGAAGGUGGCCGUGUGCACCAGAUUUGUCCGAGGCACGUGCAAGAAGACAGAUGGGUCCUGCCCUUUCUCUCAUCAUGUGUCCAAGGAAAAGAUGCCUGUGUGCUCCUACUUUCUGAAGGGGAUCUGCAGCAACAGCAACUGCCCCUACAGCCACGUGUAUGUGUCCCGCAAGGCCGAAGUCUGCGGUGACUUCCUCAAAGGCUAUUGCCCACUGGGUGCGAAGGGGUGUUUGUCCCCGUGGCACCCAGUGCCAGCUGCUUCAUCGUAACCAGAAGCGACAUGGCCGGCGGACAGCUGCACCUCCUAUCCCAGGGCCCAGUGAUGGAACCCCCAGAAGCAAGGCCUCAGCCGGCCAUGCACUCAGGAAGCCCACUACUACUCCGCGCCCUGCCAGACAGAUGUCCAGUGGUCUGGCUUCCAGAACGGAGGCCCCAGCCUCCCCUCCCCCCUCCCCAAGGGUAUUAGCCUCCACCUCUACCCUGUCUUCAAAGGCCACUGCUGCCUCCUCUCCUUCCUCUUCUCCCUCCACUGGUUCCUCCACCCCUUCCUUGGAUCAGGAAGAAGCUGUCUCUGGGACAGGCGGGGCAGGCUCAGGAACAGGCUCUGGCAGCCUCUGCAAGCUACCAUCCUUUAUCUCCCUGCAUUCCUCUCCAAGCCCAGGAGGCCAGACUGGGCCCCAGGCCC
rnacentral:lncRNA from 1 species